UCUUGGACAAAACACAUUGUCACCCCCUUCCACUUUUCCACUUUCACACGCACAGUAAAAACUCCUAUCGAAACCGAAGAAACUCCUCUCAUCAAGUUUCUCUUUUUAUUGAACGUUUUUAGAUGGCGAUCGUUUAUUUCUAUUCCGAUUAACUUAAAAAACCCGUCGCUCGGAACGAUCGGCAUUUAAUCUGUCAUCAUGUUCGAGGCACAUGUUUUGCAUUUGCUUCGAAGAUAUUUGGGCGAAUAUGUCCAUGGACUGUCUUCUGAGGCCUUGAGAAUUAGUGUUUGGAAAGGUGAUGUUGUUCUCA